GAUGAACGCUGGCGGCGUGCCUAAUACAUGCAAGUCGAGCGAACGGACGAGAAGCUUGCUUUUCUGAUGUUAGCGGCGGACGGGUGAGUAACACGUGGAUAACCUACCUAUAAGACUGGGAUAACUUCGGGAAACCGGAGCUAAUACCGGAUAAUAUUUUGAACCGCAUGGUUCAAAAGUGAAAGACGGUCUUGCUGUCACUUAUAGAUGGAUCCGCGCUGCAUUAGCUAGUUGGUAAGAUAACGGCUUACCAAGGCAACGAUGCAUAGCCGACCUGAGAGGGUGAUCGGCCACACUGGAACUGAGACACGGUCCAGACUCCUACGGGAGGCAGCAGUAGGGAAUCUUCCGCAAUGGGCGAAAGCCUGACGGAGCAACGCCGCGUGAGUGAUGAAGGUCUUCGGAUCGUAAAACUCUGUUAUUAGGGAAGAACAUAUGUGUAAGUAACUGUGCACAUCUUGACGGUACCUAAUCAGAAAGCCACGGCUAACUACGUG
rnacentral:rRNA from 1 species